rnacentral:lncRNA from 1 species
GUUUCUAUACAUAGAAGCAUUCAUUAAUUUUGAUAUAUUAAAAACAACACACCAAAUGAAACAGGUCCAUUGUGAUUUCCUACUCAUCCCUAAACCCACUCAUAUGCUCCAUCAAUAAACUACUGCCGUCAAGAUUUCCGGCAUUAUUCCGGCGAAAUCCGGCAAGAAACAACCGCUGUCAUUCGUAACUCAUUUUUGGCGAUUUCCGGCAAGAAAACGAACCGAACGUAACAACAAUUUAGUUUGUCGCGUGAGUUCAGCUAAUAGGUGUAUCGCAAAUGAGUUGCUGAUAAGUGGACUUCCAAAAUCGAUUAACUCAUGUGACCCUUGACCGCUGAACCAUUAAUCAAUCUCCUGAUUUAGACGAGACCGCUGCCAUCCUCACGUCAGUGCCAUUGGCUUUCACUCUCGCUUUCCAAGCCAAAGGGGCAGAGAAAAUCUGCCUCUCUUCGCUCCGUUUUUAGCUGUUUUUAUGGUGAGCAGCAAUCGAUGAGGGUGGGGGCGCCAAACAUGGUGCCUUGAAAUAUGGACAACGCUGCUCGAAUUUGGUCGGAAUUCAAGAAUAGUGGCAGCUUAGAGUUGGAUUUUACUAUAGAUCUUUGAUGAAAAUCCAUUUGAAACAAGAAUCACACCAACAGGUGCUUAAAAUGUUUAACCAGGAAUUUGAAGUUUAAGCAGUUCAGAGAACAACUUAAAUCCACCAGCAGAUUUUCCUAAGGAUCAAACAAAGUUAUGCAAGUUGCUUUAGGUCGAUCUGAAUCCGAUGAGAUGAGGCCAGGGCUUCACAAGGUUUCUAAGCUUCUCAAGGGGGGUCUUUGUUUAACCAACAUGCUUGUAGAAGAAGCCCAAAGGUUAAUACUACAAAGCCAUGUUAGAAGUACUUCUGUUAUUUAGUUGUUCCCAAUGGUACGUGAUUGGCCAAGGCUCCAACACUUUUUCGGAAACAUGGACGCCACUCGCGCAACGCGCGACAUUGAUAACACUAACUUGUAUAUGUUAGUUUUGUUUUACUUGGAAGAAUGUAUUCGAAUGAAAUAUUUACUUGUCACGGUUAUUUAUAUUAGAAUUGAACAUAGUUUGCUUUAUAAUCUUUAGUUUAUUUUGGAUUUUACAGCUUUUUUUUAUUUGGGAAAC